AAUACCGGAUAGGACCAUCGUUUAAUGUCGGUGGUGGAAAGUUUUUCGGUGCAGGAUGAGCCCGCGGCCUAUCAGCUUGUUGGUGGGGUAAUGGCCUACCAAGGCGUCGACGGGUAGCCGGCCUGAGAGGGUGGACGGCCACAUUGGGACUGAGACACGGCCCAGACUCCUACGGGAGGCAGCAGUGGGGAAUAUUGCACAAUGGGCGCAAGCCUGAUGCAGCGACGCCGCGUGGGGGAUGAAGGCCUUCGGGUUGUAAACUCCUUUCAGCCAUGACGAAGCUGGCCUUGUUGGGUCAGUGACGGUAGUGGUAGAAGAAGCACCGGCUAACUACCUGCCAACAGCCGCGGUAAUACGUACGGUGCGAGCGUUGUCCCGAAUUACUGGGCGUAAAGAGCUCGUAAGUGGUUUGUCGCGUCGUCUGUGAAAUUCCGGGGCUUAACUCCGGGCGUGCAGGCGAUACUGGCAUAACUUGAGUACUGUAUGGGAGACUGGAAUUCCUGGUGUAACGGUGAAAUGCGCAGAUAUCACGAGGAACACCGAUGGCGAAGGCAGGUCUCUGGGCACUUACUGACGCUGAUGAGCGAUAGCAUGGGUAGCGAACAGGAUUAGAUACCCUGGUACUCCAUGCCGUAAACGGUGGGCGCUAGGUGUGGGGGUCUUCCACGACUUCCGUGCCGUAGCUAACGCAUUAAGCGCCCCGCCUGGGGAGUACGGCCGCAACGCUAAAACUCAAAGGAAUUGACUGAGGCCCGCACAAGCGGCGGAGCAUGUGGAUUAAUUCGAUGCAACGCGAAGAACCUUAACUGGGCUUGACAUAUGCAGGAUCGGCACAGAUAUGUGUUUUACCCUUUGUGGUACUGUAUACAAGCUGGUGCAUGGCUGAUCGUCAUCUCGUGUCCUGAGAUGUUGAGAUAAGUGCUCUGCAACAAGCGCAACCACUUAGUCUCGUUGCUGGCUAGCAUCGCUUAUGGAUGGGGUACUCGAGAGAGACUGCCGGGAGUUAAAUCGGAGGAAGGUGGGGAUGACGUCAAAUCAUCAUGCCCCUUAUGUCCAGGGCUUCACACAUGCUACAAUGG
rnacentral:rRNA from 1 species